GAUGAACGCUGGCGGCGUGCUUAACACAUGCAAGUCGAACGAUGAAGCCCAGCUUGCUGGGUGGAUUAGUGGCGAACGGGUGAGUAACACGUGAGUAACCUGCCCUUAACUCUGGGAUAAGCCUGGGAAACUGGGACUAAUACCGGAUAGGAGCGUCCACCGCAUGGUGGGUGUUGGAAAGAUUUAUCGGUUUUGGUUGGACUCGCGGCCUAUCAGCUUGUUGGUGAGGUAAUGGCUCACCAAGGCGACGACGGGUAGCCGACCUGAGAGGGUGACCGGCCACACUGGGACUGAGACGCGGCCCAGCCUCCUCCGGGAGGCAGCAGUGGGGAAUAUUGCACAAUGGGCGCAAGCCUGAUGCAGCGACGCCGCGUGGGGGAUGACGGCCUUCGGGUUGUAAACCUCUUUCAGUAGGGAAGAAGCGAAAGUGACGGUACCUGCAGAAGAAGCACCGGCUAACUACGUG
rnacentral:rRNA from 1 species